GAUUCCACUGUGGCUAUAAUAGCUCCCAUCCUUUGUUGCCUGGGUCCCUCUCAGCAGUCAUGCUGAAAGCGGUUUUAUUAAGACCAGGCAGAUUUGAUUUCUUGGAAAGAAUCCUGGGAACAUUGUCACAUGAACUUUACCAAAGUCUGUGUCUGAUAAACAAGGAUCUUAUUCAGAUUCAAGCAAGAGGGUAUGCUUGUAGCGGGCCAACUGCAGGAGUUGCUGAAUUGGGUCUGCCUGGGACAAGGUAGACCCUCUCUCAGUACUGGAAGCAUUAUUUUGAUAGAGUGAGGAAAACCACAAAAGUAAAAGAGGUUUCGAGGCGCUAUUUUAAUAUUAUUCUCAGAACCAAGGGGAUUAUGACAUUUGGCUAGUCUAUGGAAAUAAGCUUGACUUUAGAAUUAGAAAAGGGGAACUCCUAUGUUAGCAGCCACAGUCUUGGCAAUUAGACACUCAGGUAGCAAAUGAGAGUUUCAGCACUGCAACACCAACCAGUGGAGGCUCCUGUGGUGGCACUUAAUGAAUGGGAAAGAGCAUCUUUGAGCUUUUCUUUUAGAUCUUGGAAAAUGGAAGGAGAUUCUGGGGAACCCGGCGCCUGCUGAUGAAGAGGUCUAGAUCCUCCUGCCUGGGAGUGAUAGGCGUUCUCCUGUUUUUGUGCUGUGUUUGUCAGCAGGAUCCUAGGAUUCCCAAGAUGGGAAUGCAAUCGGUCCCUGGAAUUUUCACCAUCCUAACACUCCUUUGGUCGUAGGUAAAUUGAUUACUGCAGCUCAAUUGCUCUGUGAGCAAAGCACUCCGUCUGUUUUGGUUCUCAAUCCUCACUCUUCAUCUGUCAUGCAUCAUAUAUUGUUUUUUUUCUGCACUGUUACCCACAGUGACAGACUAGACAAGACUGUGUCAUUGACUACAGACUUCAUUGC
rnacentral:lncRNA from 1 species